UGGGGCGACGCGUCUCUCCCCCGACCUCUAGGCGGCAGCGGUUGGAUCACCGAAGGCGGCAGAAGCGGACGGAAUCGAGAGCGCCGAGGAGAAGCGGACGGAACCACACCGUGCGCGCGACGCGAGGGAACCUCCGUCCUACCUACUACCCAACGCCAGAUGGAAGAGUCAUGCUAUACAAAAAAGAAAAAUCCAUACCGACAGUCAUGUACUCCUCGUCUCCAAGGCAGGGCUCCUCGACAAUAGGGUCCCCGCUGCACAGAAAUUCGACAUGGAAAUUUGAAGCUUGCAGCAAGAAUGAUGUGACAAUGCCCCUGCUAGCUGCUGCCUAGUGAGUAUCAUCAUAGAUGUUUCUUCUACUCCCAAAAGGAAAUACUUAUUCACAUAGAUACCUUUGCUUAACCAAAGUCAGUUCUAAAACUGGGUUAACUUGAAUCCCAAGAUUGAUGUCGGCGUGAGUUCCUCAAUGGCGGUCUUCUUCACCAACUUCCUCUUCUGCAGCGGGACUUCUUGGCUGGACAAUGGCAUCGAUGCUCAAUCUGUUCUUCAUUUUCUCUUCUUAUUUUCUUGUUGUAUUCGUUGCCUGUAAGUUGUUUCUUCAGAAUUCUGUAACACUCUGGCCGUUACGGGCUUUGUUAAUUCAAAGUCGGGCACCUGUGUGUCUUUUAUCUAAAAAAAAAACUUGAAUCCCAACACUUCUUUUGAUUCAAACUGGGAUUGUUGAUCAGUAAGGGUUAUAAGAUGUACUAGCAAGAUGUAAGUUCUUUUCCGUAGCUAAUUUUUUUAUAUUGUGCCUGGAGUAUACAUUGCAUGCCCUUUGUGUUUAUUGGCUGUCUAUUACUAUUUUGUAAUAGAUUCAUUACUUCUAAAGAUUUUCAUUAUAAUAUCUUUCCCUGACAUACAUGCCCUCUCUUAAUCUCUCCCUGAGUAUGGUCUCUCCCCUGCCAUCCCUGGGCGGCGGCAGCUAGAGCACCGAGGGCGGUGGAGGCGAACAGGAUCGAGAGCGGCGAGGUGAGAAGGGUCAACGUAUCUCCCCAGCGACAGUGGUUGGAGCACCGAGGGCAGUAAAAGGGGACGGGAUCAGGAGCGGCAAGGAGGAGACGGUUGUUUACGAUGGCAGUCAUCCAGAUUUUCAUGCAACCAUUCAAUCUAUUUUAUCCG